rnacentral:rRNA from 1 species
UACAGAGGGAGCAAGCGUUAUCCGGAAUGAUUGGGCGUAAAGCGUCUGUAGGUGGUUCGUAAAGUUUAAUGUCAAAUACCAGGGCUUAACCCUGGACCGGCAUUGAAGCACUCACGGACUUGAGUACGGUAGAGGCAGAGGGAAUUCCAUGUGGAGCGGUGAAAUGCGUAGAUAUCUGGAGGAACACCGGUGGCGAAGGCGCACAUCUGGCCCGAUACUGACGCUAAAGCGCGAAAGCUAGGGGAGCAAACGGG